rnacentral:rRNA from 1 species
UACAUGGGGUGCAAACGUUGCUCGGAAUUAUUGGGCGUAAAGCGCGCGUAGGCGGUUACUUAAGUCGGAUGUGAAAGCCCUCGGCUUAACUGAGGAAGUGCACCCGAAACUGAGUAGCUAGAGUACUAAAGAGGGUCGCGGAAUUCCCGGUGUAGAGGUGAAAUUCGUAGAUAUCGGGAGGAACACCGGUGGCGAAGGCGGCGACCUGGGUAGAUACUGACGCUGAGGCGCGAAAGCGUGGGGAGCAAACGGG